rnacentral:rRNA from 1 species
AGAGUUUGAUCCUGGCUCAGGAUGAACGCUGGCGGCGUGCCUAACACAUGCAAGUCGAGCGGUAUAUAUCUAAACAAAACUUCGGUCUAGUGAGGGUAUAGAGAGCGGCGGACGGGUGAGUAACGCGUAGGCAACCUGCCCCAUACACAGGGAUAGCCUCGGGAAACCGGGAUUAAAACCUGAUAAUGCGAGAAGUUCACAUGGACAACUCGCCAAAGAUUUAUCGGUAUGGGAUGGGCCUGCGUCUGAUUAGCUAGUUGGUGGGGUAACGGCCUACCAAGGCGACGAUCAGUAGCCGACCUGAGAGGGUAAUCGGCCACAUUGGAACUGAGACACGGUCCAAACUCCUACGGGAGGCAGCAGUGGGGAAUAUUGCACAAUGGGCGAAAGCCUGAUGCAGCAACGCCGCGUGAGCGAUGAAGGCCUUUGGGUCGUAAAGCUCUGUCCUUGGGGAAGAAAAAAAUGACGGUACCCUUGGAGGAAGCCCCGGCUAACUACGUGCCAGCAGCCGCGGUAAUACGUAGGGGGCAAGCGUUAUCCGGAAUUAUUGGGCGUAAAGAGUGCGUAGGUGGUUUUGUAAGCGCGGGGUGAAAGGCAAUAGCUCGACUAUUGUAAGCCUUGCGAACUGUAACACUUGAGUGCAGGAGAGGAAAGCGGAAUUCCUAGUGUAGCGGUGAAAUGCGUAGAUAUUAGGAGGAACACCAGUGGCGAACGCGGCUUUCUGGACUGUAACUGACACUGAGCACGAAAGCGUGGGGAGCAAACAGGAUUAGAUACCCUGGUAGUCCACGCCGUAAACGAUGAGCACUACGUGUCGGGGCCGCAAGGCUUCGGUGCCGCAGUUAACGCAUUAAUGCUCCGCCUGGGGAGUACGCACGCAAGUGUGAAACUCAGAGGAAUUGACGG